AGCAGGGUGAAGAAACCAGACGUUUUGGAGUAGAAGGAGGGAAAGCAUCCAUGAUAAGGAACAUUUGCUCAGAGACUGCAAAGAGGGCAGGACUGGGGAAGGAGAAAAUUUGGGGAAAGGAUUAGCAAUUUAGUUUCGGUAGAUGGCCACGUGGAAAUGCUGAGAAGGACACUGGAUACGAAAACAUGAAGUCAGGGGCCACAGGACUGCACACUGAACCUUGGAAGCUGUUUCACUGCUCCUGAUGUCUAACGUUAUGCAAAGAUGUGUUUCUGCCAGUGAAUAUCGCCUUAUGGUUAUACUUCUGCAAAUAGCCUGCUGUGAGCUGAUAAAGGGAUUAAUGCAGCCAAAAUUCUUAAUCUGUGAAAUUACAAAUUAAAUUC